UACGGGGGGGGCAAGCGUUGUUCGGAAUUACUGGGCGUAAAGGGCUCGUAGGUGGCCAACUAAGUCAGACGUGAAAUCCCUCAGCUUAACUGGGGAACUGCGUCUGAUACUGGAUGGCUUGAGUUUGGGAGAGGGAUGCGGAAUUCCAGGUGUAGCGGUGAAAUGCGUAGAUAUCGUGAGGAAGACCAGUGGCGAAGGCGGAUCUCUGGACAGCUCCUGACGCUGAGGCGCGAAGGCUAGGGGAGCAAACGGG
rnacentral:rRNA from 1 species